CGCCACCCAGGGUUCCCAAAAUGCCCAUUUUAAAAACUAGGUCUGAAGCCAUCUAUGUUCCUAACUUCCUCAAAAUUCAGGCUCACUCCCUCAGGUACCAAGAUACUAAAGACAGAUGCUCACCAUACAUAGGCCCAGGUGAAAGGCUGGGACAGCCUCCUCUGCCUCAGGGACUGCCUGGCCAGAGGCAGGAAGGAGUGAGAGGUGGGGAAGGUACGCUGGAGGCAACAUCCAAGCUGAAUUUUCAAGGACAAGAAGGAAGCUAGCCAGGUUAAAGGUGAGGAAAAAGAAAGGUCUCCAGGAAGAAAACAGUGUUGAUGACAAGAUAUACCAGCACGGAGACUCAGGUGUGAUGUCUGUGAGGCACGGAACAUGGAACACAGAAUGCAAGAGGAUCACUAGCGAUUUAGAUGGGGGAAGGGGGGGGGGUGCAGCUGGGAUGCCGGUGUUGGAUGAUGAGAAAUCUCGAGGGUCAGGUGGUCAUCCUGAAGAGUGCCAUGUCUGCGGACUGCAGGGGUUCAGGAGGGUGAAGCUCCUGGGGGAAGGUGUAAACCGCCUAGAACCGCCUUUCACUAGGACUCCAGAGAAGGCCUGCCUCUCUCACUUUAGAGACUACCUAUCUUGGCCAACUCCCUUCUGUGGAACACAGUGGCCAAAGGCAACAGGAAGCCUGGAGGAUCUGGAAGCAGCCCAAUGAGACCUCUGGGGAUCCCAGGUGGGAGAUGAGGAAAGUGAACGCAGACCUGCAGCCCCUCUGAGCCUCCCACUGGUUGGCCCCUCAGGUUAUUCUUUGUACUCUCCUCUUUGGUUGUUGACCAUCAGACCCAUCACACUGACAAAUCACCCGAUUACAAUCUCAGUCUCAGAGUGAAACCAGUGACUCAAAUGAAAAUGGAAUCAAGCAGGGCUGCCCCAAAGCUCACACUCUUCCACCCCUGUGCUGUGUUGGCUUCUUCUUGCCCGUGGCUCAUCUCAACAUCACCAGCAAACCUAAUGGAAUCUGGACCCUCCAGGAACACCAGUGAAGGCUUGGCUGGCUCACUGCUGACUGAAUGCACAACGCCGUGAGGACGGGCAGUCUGUGCCCCAGAAACUCUGCCCUCCCUAGCCAGCCCCUGGGUCCAUGCCCCCAGACAGCCUUCCUUCCCACCAUCCCAAGCUGUGCUGCGGACCAGAGCCUACAGCACACAGGACAUCAAGCCCAAAUACUAUCCAACUCUUUGCCCUAAGAGAGUGUGGACCUUUGUCUUCCUCAUCCACUGCUCUUUCUACACUGCCUCCCACCGGCUCUGCCACGUGGCUGGCACUCAAUAAAAAUGUAAGGCAGGACCGAUAAAUGACUAGAAGACAAUGCAGGUGACUAUCUGUGUGACUUAGGGCCAGGCAGGAUCCUUAAAAUUUCCAAAGUCAAAGCUGUACAAAUACUUAUACAGUUGUGUGCCUACGUGUAUAAAUAAAUUUUAUUACAUCAAAAAUUAAGGAUUCCGGGAUCCCUGGGUGGCGCAGCGGUUUAGCGCUUGCCUUUGGCCCGGGGCGCAAUCCUGGAGACCCGGGAUCGAUUCCCACGUCGGGCUCCCGGUGCAUGGAGCCUGAUUCUCCCUCUGCCUAUGUCUCUGCCUCUCUCUCUCUCUCUGUGUGACUAUCAUAAAUAAAUUUAAAAAAAUUAAAAAAAAUUAAGGAUUCCUGUUCAGAAACCUACAUCAUGGACAAAGUUAACAGGGUGCAAACCCUAUUUCCUCAUUUGCUAUGUCAAAAUUGACAAAAGACUAAACUGGAAUAUCCCAGGGAGGUCCUACAUAUCUUCGUGAAAAAGACAGGCCCUGAGGGAAGCUGGGCAAAGGGUAUGAUUAGGGCAACUUCAGAAAGAAGUAAAUCUAUGGGGCUCACAGCAGCAAGGGGCUCAGCCUCGUGUGAUGGGGGAAUACGAUGAUCGAAGGCUCUUCAUCCCUACAGACUGGCGGACUCGAGGAUGGGAAACACCAAGUGUGGGACAGAGGGGGCACACAGGACCCUUACUGCACAUACUGGUGGAAAACAGACUGGGAUGGGCCUGAGAAUAACCAGGCAGUCAUUAAGCAUACACAUGCCCUAUGAGGACCCAGCAAUUCUGUUCCUGAGUCACAUCCCACAGAAAUGUUCUCUUGGGCUGAGGGCACACAGGAGUCUUUUCUCUGGAGAACGCAUGGCAGGCAUGAACAUGGCAUGCACAGUGAUGUGGAGGGAAGCAGCGAGACAUGCAGGGCUAGGUGUAGACACCACGACCUGCACAGACCUCCCCAACAGUGGAGAAAAAGAAACAGAAUGACAGGGAGCAUGAGGUCUUCGAUGAGAAUUAAAAAUACCUACACACAAAGCAAGGCUAUAAGGUCCACAAGAGCCUGCGCUCACACAAGCCCUAUCUCUAGCAAAGGGAAAGGGCUAGCGUCCAGGGCAGGGAGAAGGACGGCAAAGGAUGUGGGUGUGGAGUCUCAUCCUACCUGCCCCAGAUGCAGUUCUCUAUUAAGGCUCAGCUUGUCUUCCCCAUGGAGGCCUCCCUGAUAACCGCUGUUCCUGCCAGACCACCAAGAGGGAGCGCCUGCAUCACCUGCACUUGCAGACAGUCGGGACCAAUUCCCCACCACUGGCUCCUGCUUGCUGGUCCACUUGGGGGCCACGAGGGCCUUCCCACACACUGUCCCCAUGGCCUGCAGCCACAGCUUGUCCCACAUGAGUCACAGUUGUUCAUCUUACCCGCCCCGCCCCAGCUGGGCUGCAAGCCUCUGGCAUCACACACUGUUUCUCAUCAGCAGGAGCAUCAUAAUAGAGCAUGUGUAUGCUCUAUUAUACUGCAAGGCAGCAUGCUAACACCUCUGCAUGUAUCACCUCAUUUAAUCCUGUGACAAUCCUUGGCAGUGGGUACUAUUAGUGUUUCCAUUCUACAGAAAAGGAAACCAAGGCUUAAAGAGGCAAAGUCACCCACAAUCAUGCAGCCAGAAAGAGGCAGAGCCCACCUUCUAGAAUCUUCCUCAGGCUGAGAACAGAGAGAGUAAAGCCAAGACUUAACAGGUAGACAUCAGGUGAUGAGUGUGCUUCCAACCAGCCCCACGGAUCCCAGGGAAGGCCACAGACACAGUUCAAGACUGAAAAGUAAUGUACUGGCCCUGCUUCUGAUUCCACUGUGUGCCGCCAAGGCUCAUGGGAGGAACCCCAAACCUGUAAACUACUAAGACCACUAAGAUGACCUUGAUUUCACCCACACAAGGCUCAUGCCCUUUAACCUGUGACCCUGAAGGCCCAAGCACCACAACUGCUCCUUCUACACUGUGGAGAGGCAGGUUCAAGGGUGAGCCAGCUGUGCCAAGCUGACUGGACAGAAAGAAAAGCCUUGGUGGUGUCCCUCCCUCCCUCAAGUCCACAGAGUCAGAGUCCAAUGUUUCACUUAAAGCUGACAAAAUACACGGAGCAGCUCCAGGAUAUUUUUCAGCCAGCCUUUCUGAGAGACAAGGAUAAAAGAUGACCCUUCUGAGAUUCCUUAAUUACAGUCCUGCAGAUGGCAACGGAACUGGCUGAAUGAGCUUCUGUUACCUGCCUUGAGUCCCUUAGCCCCCGGCCCUCUCUGACGAAGGCACCCCUCAGGAGGGAGAGGCAAACAUCUGGCCCUGCCCCCAAAUAAAUGACCUUGUGUGGGUCUCCCUCCCCAUGUUUCCAUUCCUUCAGCUGUAAGGUGGAGGUAGAACUGGUUUCGUAAGGACUGAACGCACUGGGAAAGCAUGGGUUUCUUCCCAGCCAGGCGUGCUCUUACCCUGGCUCAGGCGUCACUUGACCAGACCUGGCCAUUUCUACAUUUUGUCCAUUGGGAGACAAAAUGCAGUGGGGAGACAGGGGUAGAUGAUUUCCAGGGGUCCUUUGUAAUUCCAGGAUUUCUAACUGAAGAGUUUGUCAAUGCACCCAGCCGGCUGGCUGCCCCCUCAAGCCCUCAUAACUCAAUUUUUGAGAGCCUAGUACCACCCUCCUGCCACACACCAGUGUGUAAUGAACACCUAACUGUGUGCCAAGGACUAAGUGGGGGACGAGGGAUAUAGUGGUGAACAAACCGCGGUGGUCCCUACCUUCCUGGAACUUAUGGUCAGAUAAAUAACCCAAUUACAGACAGUUACCAGUUCUGGAAGGAACACUCUGGGUGGUCAGGACUGCCUGAAGGAAAUGAUGCUUGUGCUCACUCACCCUCUGGGAUCCCAACCGGCCUAGCACUGGAACAGAGGACUCAGGAGCUCCCAUCUUGGUGUCCACCCCCCCACACCCGGACUAACCCUAACCUCACUGGGCUUGCCAUCCUCAAGACGGGAUAAUGCUCUUUACCUGGCAGGGCUCCGAGAGGGUCACAGACCCAAUCCCUUGCUGGCCUGCCUCUGCUGCCGUUCAUUGGCCACCCGGGAGGCUGAUCUGUGCUCUGGCUGAAUGUGACCCAGCACCAGGCCUGCCACUGCCCUGCCGCCUCACUCUGGUUCCCAGCUCCUAUGUUCAACUCUCACUCAAAAUGCUAACCGGCCCUGCCAUCUGAUCCUGGAACUGUCCUCAUCAAGCAGAAGGGUGAAGAAAAUGAGGCUCCUCACCCAGCAAAGGCGCCCUGUGCUACAUGACAGUUCUAAAGCACAAAGACUUCAGCAACUUCAAAGAUCAUCAUCGAUCUUUAAACAUUCAAAUAAAAAAAGGAAGACAAAGAAACUCAGAAAUCUCAGUUCAGUUUGCAGAUCUAACUCCAAAAGCAAAACACAAAGUGCAAAGGAAGGAGGUGUUGAAACAAAGUUAUCUUAGAACUGAACAACUCCUUUAGAGUGGUCCACUGGGUUCACUGUGCUCAGCACAUAUUGCUCAGAUGUCAACAAGGCCCAGCUGCACCCAAGGACUUGUCCAUGUCAUAGCGCACACCUACCUACAAGCCAUCACCCCUAAUACUCCACCCUCGAGCUCAUGGUCUCUGGACACUCGCACACACUCGUCCUUCAGCCAAGUGCCCAGGAAACAGCCUGACAACACAGAUGCCAAGUGCCCAGGUCACAACUCUUUGAUUCUCCCUCUCGAUACAGCGGGAGCCCUGCUGCACCCGAGCGCUCCAGCAAUCUUACAGCACCCCACACGAUGAUCCAGCUAGUGUCUGUCUCCUCCCAUGAGAGAUUACCUCCAGAUGUCACAGCCAAAGCCUCUUGGAGGGUCAGGUCGUGUCCCUCCCAUGCAGGCACACAGCCAGCAUGCAGAAGAGGAUUCUGGAAUGAUCCGCUCUCCAUUGAGAAAACCGAUGCUCGAGAAGGUUAAGUAACUUGCCUCUGGUCACCCAAGUAUUGAAUGGCGGAAACAACAUUUGACAAGUUUGUCAAGGUAAUGUUCUCUCUGUCACACCAAGAUGUUUUUCAAAAACUAUCUGAACUUUAA